rnacentral:lncRNA from 1 species
CAUCUCUCGGAACAUAUUUGCUCUUACGGCAACCAACUCCCUCUGUAUGUUAUUAACCUGCUUCUGAAGUUCCCGCACGGUGUCGUGCAGAAUAGCAAUAUCCCAAACAAGAUCAGUCAUAUCUAGAACACACAUGAAUUAACAAAAAACAUAAACACAAAAAUAAAGAAAAGAGUCUAAAUGUAAUACAACAUCUACUAUCAACUGGUAGAUUUACACAAAAAAAACUUACCUCA